rnacentral:rRNA from 1 species
GACGGAGGAUGCAAGCGUUAUCCGGAAUGAUUGGGCGUAAAGCGUCCGCAGGUGGCAGUUCAAGUCUGCUGUCAAAGACCGGGGCUUAACUUCGGAAAGGCAGUGGAAACUGAACAGCUAGAGUAUGGUAGGGGCAGAGGGAAUUCCCGGUGUAGCGGUGAAAUGCGUAGAGAUCGGGAAGAACAUCGGUGGCGAAAGCGCUCUACUGGACGGCAACUGACACUCAGGGACGAAAGCUAGGGGAGCGAAUGGG